CAUUAAGAAGCUAUGAACCAGCAACAGCCUUUUAAGCUGUAGACAGGUGGCUACACCCACCCUUAGUGA
rnacentral:tRNA from 1 species